GCGCUGUGCAACAACUUGCAAAGUAGCUAAAAUCUGACUACGAAUCAGUAGGUCGGGAGUUCGAAUCUCUCCGGGCGCACCA
rnacentral:tRNA from 1 species